rnacentral:rRNA from 1 species
AUUGAACGCUGGCGGCAGGCCUAACACAUGCAAGUCGAACGAGCGGCGGACGGGUUAGUAAUGUAUGGGAAACUGCCUGAUGGAGGGGGAUAACUACUGGAAACGGUAGCUAAUACCGCAUACCAUCAGAUGUGCCCAGAUGGGAUUAGCUUGUUGGUGGGGUAACGGCUCACCAAGGCGACGAUCCCUAGCUGGUCUGAGAGGAUGACCAGCCAAACUGGAACUGAACAACGGUCCAGACUCCUACGGGAGGGAGUAGGGGGGAAUAUGUCACAAUGGGCACAAGCCUGAUUCAACCAUGCCGCGGGUUUGGAAGAGGCCUUCGGGUUGUAAAGGACUUUCAGCGGGGAGGCGUUACCCGCCGAAGGAGCACCGGCUCACUCCGGGCCCGCCGGCGCGGUAAUAC